AAAGACAUAUCGGUCUCCGAAUGCAUCCGAUUGAUUNGANUGAUCAUGGCUCAAUUGAACGCUGGCGUGCAGGCCUAACACAUGCAAGUCGAGCGGCAGCACAAGUAAGUUUACUUAUGAGNGUGGCGAGCGGCGGACGGGUGAGUAAUGCCUANGGAUCUGCCCAGUCGAGGGGGAUAACAGUUGGAAACGACUGCUAAUACCGACAUACGACCCUACGGGGGAAAGGAGGGGACCUUCGGGCCUUCCGCGAUUGGAUAGAACNCAAGAUAGNGAUAUANCUAGUAUAGGUGAGGUAAUGGCUCACCAA
rnacentral:rRNA from 1 species